rnacentral:rRNA from 1 species
UCUCUUGAGAGCGGCGGACGGGUGAGUAAUGCCUAGGAAUCUGCCUGGUAGUGGGGGAUAACGUUCGGAAACGGACGCUAAUACCGCAUACGUCCUACGGGAGAAAGCAGGGGACCUUCGGGCCUUGCGCUAUCAGAUGAGCCUAGGUCGGAUUAGCUAGUUGGUGAGGUAAUGGCUCACCAAGGCGACGAUCCGUAACUGGUCUGAGAGGAUGAUCAGUCACACUGGAACUGAGACACGGUCCAGACUCCUACGGGAGGCAGCAGUGGGGAAUAUUGGACAAUGGGCGAAAGCCUGAUCCAGCCAUGCCGCGUGUGUGAAGAAGGUCUUCGGAUUGUAAAGCACUUUAAGUUGGGAGGAAGGGUUGUAGAUUAAUACUCUGCAAUUUUGACGUUACCGACAGAAUAAGCACCGGCUAACUCUGUG